ACGUAGGGUGCGAGCGUUAAUCGGAAUUACUGGGCGUAAAGCGUGCGCAGGCGGUUCGUUAAGUCUGAUGUGAAAGCCCCGGGCUCAACCUGGGAAUGGCAUUGGAAACUGGCGGGCUUGAGUGUGGCAGAGGGGGGUGGAAUUCCGCGUGUAGCAGUGAAAUGCGUAGAGAUGCGGAGGAACACCGAUGGCGAAGGCAGCCCCCUGGGCUAACACUGACGCUCAGGCACGAAAGCGUGGGGAGCAAACAGGAUUAGAUACCCUGGUAGUCCACGCCCUAAACGAUGAUCACUGGGUGUUCGGGGAGCGAUCUCUGAGUACCGAAGCUAACGCGUGAAGUGAUCCGCCUGGGGAGUACGGUCGCAAGAUUA
rnacentral:rRNA from 1 species